rnacentral:rRNA from 1 species
AUUGAACGCUGGCGGCAUGCCUUACACAUGCAAGUCGAACGGCAGCGCGGGCUUCGGCCUGGCGGCGAGUGGCGAACGGGUGAGUAAUACAUCGGAACGUGCCCAGAAGUGGGGGAAAGCGUGGCGAAAGCCGGAUUAAUACCGCAUACGACCUGUGGGCGAAAGUGGGGGGGCUUCGGACCUCGUGCCUUGGGAGCGGCCGAUGGGAGAUUCGCUAGUUGGUGGGGUAAAGGCCUACCAAGGCGACGAUCGUUAGCUGGUCUGAGAGGACGGCCAGCCACACGGGCUGUGAGGCACGUCCCACACUCCGGCAGGGGGCCGCGGCGCGGAAUUUUACACGAUGGGCCAGUGCCUAAUCCUGCACAGCCGCGUGUGUCAUGAAGGCCUUCUGGUUGUUGAGCACUUAUGGCGGGAGGGUUGAGGACUGUGCCAAUCCCACAGUUCGAUGACGGUACCCGCAGAAUAAGCACCGGCUAACUCCGUG